AGCCGGCCAUCCUGCUCGGCCACACCGCCGGGAACCAGAGAGCGAAUCACGAUCACGGUCUUGGCGGGGUCUAGUGGGUCCUGUGGUGGAGCCGGUCCAGUAAAGUUCAGUGAAAAGAAGACAACAGGAGUCACAGCAGCCCAAGAAAACUCCUCCUCUGCACGUCGACCGCUGGCUGCUAUUUUUUUGAAAAGAUGGCCAGUUACGUGGGUGUACUCAUUCUACUGCUAUUAUUAGGAGGAACCCUCUGACAGCCAAAAACUCCAGCUCCAUCAUGACGAUGGUGGUGGUAGGGAUAGUGGUGGAAGGGGGCAGGAUGGUGACACUGGGGUUCACGGCCGGGGGGAUCUCCUCAGGCUUGAAGCCCCGCCGGAUCAGCUUAAGGUGGACUGUCUGGCCUGUGUGCCUGAGCACUUCCACUGCCUGUUGAUUGGUGUAUCCUUGGAUGUUUACACCAUCGACCUGCAGAGGGCGAUCAUUUGUGAGCCCAUGGAUUAAACGGCCUGUGCUGACAAUUGGGGAGCACCACAGGCAUGACAGCAGAGACAGAGGGACUCUCCUCCACAGGACCCCUGGUCACCACCAGCUUCACCCUGUUGCCACACUGCCUGA